rnacentral:lncRNA from 1 species
UUCAGUUUAAAAGAUAGCGGAAAAGCGUCUGAAUUUUUUUUUUUUUUUAUAUAUAUAUAUCUGACCCCAGAGUAUGCCAGAUCCGCCACAAAUACAGGAGAUCCACUGUUCACACGGACAGAGUCUCCCCUGUAUUUGCACGGCGUCGCACAAGUACAAGAGUACAACCAGGAUACAACCACAACUAGAUGAGUAUAAAGAUAACUAUACAUUCAUACAUUCACCAUUCACAUCACAGUUUUACAUUCAAUGUUUAAACAGAAAUCCACGAAAAAUCCUUUUAAAAACUGUUUCCUACACGGAAACCUUUAUUCUUUAAAAACGCUACCACGAGGGGUAGAAAACCUUUUAGUUUACCAAAUCCAGAAAUCCUUUUAUUACAUUCAUGAAAAUCCACAUUUUCAAAUGUAAAUAAAUACUGAACCAUACAAGCUAUCUAUGCUAUAUCAACAGAAUAGUAAGGGUAGAAACCAAACCGAACAAUCUGGGUCGGAAGAUCUAUCGACCGCUACGUACGUAUCUCGCGUCUCGUCCCAAUACACAACGCCUGCGAUACCUGAAAAAUGGUGGGGGAGGUGAGAACAUGUAAACAUGUCUCCCCUCCCAGUGGGUAUCGCAAGCCGAAGAAGGCGAGGAGUACUCACCGGAUCAGGAAGAGCUAUACAACAACACGGGUCAGUGGAAAUAUAGCAGCAACAAUAAUAAACGAAAGAGAUAUGUAAGGUAAUGAGCAGAUAUACCGAAUACAGUAGCAAUAAACUGAAAGAAAGUAAGAACUAGAUUGAAUAACGGCUACCGCUACUGUAACUGAAAUCGAAAGCAUACAUGAAUAUCUACUAUAGUAGCAAGACAACUAUAAAGUAAGAACUGUGAAUAUGCAUGCAACGACUGCUACUAUAGACAUAUGCGUCAACGGACGAUAACCUCAAAAGUACCCAAUCUCGCUGCCCUAUUGGUCCGAAGACCUCAGGCACAUGCCACACUGCUCAACCUGUACCUGACCCUCGCAAUGAAGCCCCUGGGUCAGAAGCAUAGUACCUGACCCUCGCAAUGAAGCCCCUGGGUCAGAAGCAUAUACCCUCGCAAUAAAGCU